rnacentral:rRNA from 3 species
UUAAGCGACUAAGCGUACACGGUGGAUGCCCUGGCAGUCAGAGGCGAUGAAGGACGUGCUAAUCUGCGAUAAGCGCCGGUAAGGUGAUAUGAACCGUUAUAACCGGCGAUUUCCGAAUGGGGAAACCCAGUGUGAUUCGUCACACUAUCAUUAACUGAAUCCAUAGGUUAAUGAGGCGAACCGGGGGAACUGAAACAUCUAAGUACCCCGAGGAAAAGAAAUCAACCGAGAUUCCCCCAGUAGCGGCGAGCGAACGGGGAGGAGCCCAGAGCCUGAAUCAGCAUGUGUGUUAGUGGAAGCGUCUGGAAAGGCGCGCGAUACAGGGUGACAGCCCCGUACACAAAAGCGCAUGUGCUGUGAGCUCGAUGAGUAGGGCGGGACACGUGGUAUCCUGUCUGAAUAUGGGGGGACCAUCCUCCAAGGCUAAAUACUCCUGACUGACCGAUAGUGAACCAGUACCGUGAGGGAAAGGCGAAAAGAACCCCGGCGAGGGGAGUGAAAAAGAACCUGAAACCGUGUACGUACAAGCAGUGGGAGCACCCUUCGGGGUGUGACUGCGUACCUUUUGUAUAAUGGGUCAGCGACUUAUAUUCUGUAGCAAGGUUAACCGUAUAGGGGAGCCGGAGGGAAACCGAGUCUUAAUUGGGCGUUAAGUUGCAGGGUAUAGACCCGAAACCCGGUGAUCUAGCCAUGGGCAGGUUGAAGGUUGGGUAACACUAACUGGAGGACCGAACCGACUAAUGUUGAAAAAUUAGCGGAUGACCUGUGGCUGGGGGUGAAAGGCCAAUCAAACCGGGAGAUAGCUGGUUCUCCCCGAAAGCUAUUUAGGUAGCGCCUCGUGAAUUCAUCUCCGGGGGUAGAGCACUGUUUCGGCUAGGGGGCCAUCCCGGCUUACCAACCCGAUGCAAACUGCGAAUACCGGAGAAUGUUAUCACGGGAGACACACGGCGGGUGCUAACGUCCGUCGUGAAGAGGGAAACAACCCAGACCGCCAGCUAAGGUCCCAAAGUCAUGGUUAAGUGGGAAACGAUGUGGGAAGGCCCAGACAGCCAGGAUGUUGGCUUAGAAGCAGCCAUCAUUUAAAGAAAGCGUAAUAGCUCACUGGUCGAGUCGGCCUGCGCGGAAGAUGUAACGGGGCUAAACCAUGCACCGAAGCUGCGGCAGCGAACGUAUCACCCAAGACAACUUUACGGAGUUGACGAUUGACGGAGCGAAGCGACGUCAAAGCGUUCAUUAAAGUCGAGUUGGCUUAGGGAUACGUUCGUUGGGUAGGGGAGCGUUCUGUAAGCCUGUGAAGGUGUGUCGUGAGGCAUGCUGGAGGUAUCAGAAGUGCGAAUGCUGACAUAAGUAACGAUAAAGCGGGUGAAAAGCCCGCUCGCCGGAAGACCAAGGGUUCCUGUCCAACGUUAAUCGGGGCAGGGUGAGUCGACCCCUAAGGCGAGGCCGAAAGGCGUAGUCGAUGGGAAACGGGUUAAUAUUCCCGUACUUGGUGUUACUGCGAAGGGGGGACGGAGAAGGCUAUGUUGGCCGGGCGACGGUUGUCCCGGUUUAAGCGUGUAGGUGUGUGUUCCAGGUAAAUCCGGUUCACUUUAACACUGAGGCGUGACGACGAGGCACUACGGUGCUGAAGCAACAAAUGCCCUGCUUCCAGGAAAAGCCUCUAAGCAUCAGGUAACAUCAAAUCGUACCCCAAACCGACACAGGUGGUCAGGUAGAGAAUACCAAGGCGCUUGAGAGAACUCGGGUGAAGGAACUAGGCAAAAUGGUGCCGUAACUUCGGGAGAAGGCACGCUGACACGUAGGUGAAGUGAUUUACUCAUGGAGCUGAAGUCAGUCGAAGAUACCAGCUGGCUGCAACUGUUUAUUAAAAACACAGCACUGUGCAAACACGAAAGUGGACGUAUACGGUGUGACGCCUGCCCGGUGCCGGAAGGUUAAUUGAUGGGGUCAGCGCAAGCGAAGCUCCUGAUCGAAGCCCCGGUAAACGGCGGCCGUAACUAUAACGGUCCUAAGGUAGCGAAAUUCCUUGUCGGGUAAGUUCCGACCUGCACGAAUGGCGUAAUGAUGGCCAGGCUGUCUCCACCCGAGACUCAGUGAAAUUGAACUCGCUGUGAAGAUGCAGUGUACCCGCGGCAAGACGGAAAGACCCCGUGAACCUUUACUAUAGCUUGACACUGAACAUUGAGCCUUGAUGUGUAGGAUAGGUGGGAGGCUUUGAAGUGUGGACGCCAGUCUGCAUGGAGCCGACCUUGAAAUACCACCCUUUAAUGUUUGAUGUUCUAACGUGGACCCGUAAUCCGGGUUGCGGACAGUGUCUGGUGGGUAGUUUGACUGGGGCGGUCUCCUCCUAAAGAGUAACGGAGGAGCACGAAGGUUGGCUAAUCCUGGUCGGACAUCAGGAGGUUAGUGCAAUGGCAUAAGCCAGCUUGACUGCGAGCGUGACGGCGCGAGCAGGUGCGAAAGCAGGUCAUAGUGAUCCGGUGGUUCUGAAUGGAAGGGCCAUCGCUCAACGGAUAAAAGGUACUCCGGGGAUAACAGGCUGAUACCGCCCAAGAGUUCAUAUCGACGGCGGUGUUUGGCACCUCGAUGUCGGCUCAUCACAUCCUGGGGCUGAAGUAGGUCCCAAGGGUAUGGCUGUUCGCCAUUUAAAGUGGUACGCGAGCUGGGUUUAGAACGUCGUGAGACAGUUCGGUCCCUAUCUGCCGUGGGCGCUGGAGAACUGAGGGGGGCUGCUCCUAGUACGAGAGGACCGGAGUGGACGCAUCACUGGUGUUCGGGUUGUCAUGCCAAUGGCACUGCCCGGUAGCUAAAUGCGGAAGAGAUAAGUGCUGAAAGCAUCUAAGCACGAAACUUGCCCCGAGAUGAGUUCUCCCUGAGACUUAGAGUCUCCUGAAGGAACGUUGAAGACGACGACGUUGAUAGGCCGGGUGUGUAAGCGCAGCGAUGCGUUGAGCUAACCGGUACUAAUGAACCGUGAGGCUUAACCUU